rnacentral:rRNA from 1 species
UCGAGAAUUUUUCUCAAUGGGCGCAAGCCUGAAGGAGCGACGCCGCGUGUGGGAUGAAGGGUUUCGAUCCGUAAACCACUGUCAUUUGUGAACAAUGGUCAUUAUUUAAAAGAUGGUGACUUGAUAGUAAUGAAAGAGGAAGGGACGGCUAACUCUGUGCCAGCAGCCGCGGUAAUACAGAGGUCCCGAGCGUUGUUCGGAUUCACUGGGCGUAAAGGGUGCGUAGGUGGCAUGGUAAGUUUGAUGUGAAAGCUCAGGGCUCAACCCUGAAAUGGCAUUGAAUACUACUGUGCUGGAGGUUUGGAGGGGGGACUGGAAUUCUUGGUGUAGCAGUGAAAUGCGUAGAUAUCAAGAGGAACACCAGUGGCGAAGGCGAGUCCCUGGACAACACCUGACACUGAGGCACGAAAGCUAGGGGAGCAAACAGGAUUAGAUACCCUGGUAGUCCUAGCCCUAAACGGUGCGCAUUUGCUGUAGG